AAAAAAAAAAAAAAAAUCUCAUAUUUUUCAGGUUUGCUUCAUAUCUGCCAGAUCUUUCUUUCAACUAUUAAAUGAGCUUUCUUCUACUCUAACAUAUUCACUUUCUUCAAACUUAUUCUUCAAAUCAAAACCCAAACCUAAAAUUGAUUCUCUCUCCUCAAACUUGAUUCUUCAAAUCAAAAUCCAAAAUUAAUUCUUGAUUUGUUGAAUUGUUAUUUACCCAGUAAAAGAGUUGCUCAAUUGUUACCCAACAAUUUUUUUUUUUUUUU
rnacentral:lncRNA from 1 species